rnacentral:rRNA from 1 species
AUGCGGUGGAUCACUCGGCUCGUGUGUCGAUGAAGAGCGCAGCCAACUGUGUGAAUUAAUGUGAACUGCAUACUGCUUUGAACAUCGACAUCUUGAACGCAUAUUGCGGCCACGGGUUAGCCCGUGGCCACGCCUGUCCGAGGGUCGGCUUAUAAACUAUCACGACGCCCUACAAGUCGUGGCUUGGGUUUUGCCAGCUGGCUUGAUGGCCCUAUGCUUAGCUUCACGGCUAGGUUGGGGUGCCAGAACUGUGGCGUUUCCCUAAUGUAUCCGGGCACAUCUACAUCCUUGGUUAAAGAGGGAUGAGGACGUGGCGACGGAGUCGUGGCUCAAUGGUAUAACACGCUCCGAAUCGUAUUAGUCCGUCUCUAUGGAUGUGAUGUUGUCUGUCACUGAGUGCAUGCCAAUGGGUGCAUUCUAUUCCUUCCUCUAAUCAGCAU